rnacentral:lncRNA from 1 species
CAGACCAGCCCUGCUGAGACCCACCUCUAGGAGGUUCUAACCCACACAUCAGCGCUGGAGCCUCCAUAGGUGGACUCGGUGUUGCCAUGGCGGUAGUGACAGGAGCCAGGGUUGGUUUCUUUGUGGUGGUGUCAGGUGUUCAGGGGCGAGCUGUUGUUGUAGUUGGGGGUUCGGUGUCAGCAUCAGGAGCUUUUGUAGGUUUAUGUGUAGUUUAUGUGUAGUGGUGGUGUAGUUUAUGUGUAGUUUAGGUGUAGUGGUGGUGUAGUGGUGGUGUAGUUUAGGUGUAGUGGUGGUAUAGUUUAGGUGUAGUGGUGUUAUAGUUUAGGUGUAGUGGUGGUGUAGUGGUGGUGUAGUUUAGGUGUAGUGGUGGUGUAGUUUAGGUGUAGUGGUGGUGUAGUUUAGGUGUAGUGGUGGUGUAGUUUAGGUGUAGUGGUGGUGUAGUUUAGGUGUAGUGGUGGUGUCUGGUCCUGGAGUUGUGGUGGUUUGUAGUAGUGGGUUCAGGGGUCGUCGUAGUUAAAGGGACAUCGGACAUGGCUGAAAUGUGAGAGCUUUGCUUAAGAGCCAGUGUCACCUGUGUGUGUGUAACAGGACUC